GUGUUUUAAUUCAGCGGGCCCGAUUAAUAAUUUCACAGUUAUUCCAAGCCGAACGAUUAGAUAGUUUUGUUCCAUGAUACAGAGUAGCGUUCUUUUCUACAAUAGGUACGGCCAGCAAAAAGUGAGCCGUGAUCGUUACGUUAAUGGCGGUGAGUCGUGGUAGCCCUGAAUGCCCCUGAUGAAGUUCGGCUACCCAAAGCAUUGGAUCGUGGCUCACUUUUCGCUGGCCGUACUAUAGUGAUAAAAAAUUAAAAACAGUUUUUACGAAUUACAUGCAGUCUGGCGCGUAACUUUAAUUCGGACUAUUUAUUUUAUUAUUCUAAUCGUUUUAAUAUUACGUUGUAUACGAUUGCUGAGAAUUUUUUUGAAUAUUUUUCAUGUUCUUUGCCUGUGGCACGUUCCAUUCUUUUGUACUGCCGCGCUCGAACCCUCCUAGCGGCCGUCGUUCGAUUAUCGCCGCGAUUGUACGUACAUGACAGGUGUACGCUUCUCUAAAUCCCAAUCAAUUACAUUCAUUUGUGUGUUAAGAAUCCUAAUUUGUUUUUUGUUUAUUCACUGAGCCCUAUUAUUUUUCCUUCGGACGAUGAAAUCAGUUUUGGUUGUUGCAAAAGACCAAAGACGUGCCUGCCGAGAGCAACGGAAUUUAUUCCGCCUGUGCAUCCACUAAUUCCACAACACAAUGGAUUAAGCUCUAUUAUAUCAUGUGCCAUUGACUGUAGUUGAAUUUAAGCUUGGUGUUUUAACAUAUCAUUUCACGUCCUACACCGCCGACCGUUCACAAAUCACAUUACAACAGAAAUACGAAUUGCCAUAGUCUGCAACUUGACAAACGCAACGAUUAAGAAUCAUACUUCAAAAUGUCUAUGAAUAUGAUACAUAAAUGAUUAACCGAAGAAGAAAAAGAACAGUAUACUUCCAGAAAAUACAAAGUAAAGAAUGCUGUACACUUAUCGAAGAAGUUGAAUACUCUUACCUUAACAAUACAUCAAGAAUAUCUAGAAGAAACUAGUAUUGAGAGACACGAAACUACAAUAGAACAUACUUCGUGGCAAUCUUCAGAGUUGGAAUUUGGGAUUAAUGUUGAAGCUACUGAUGAAGUCAAGGUAAAAACUGAGCAAGAGACUAGAAUUAGAUCUAUACCUGAAGGUGCUGUAUUUUCAAACUACAUAGACAAUUAUGACGGACAACAUAUUUGUAAAAUAUGGGAAUAAAGUCCAUAAAAAUUUAAUAUAUGCUAGUAAACCUUAUGUAUGUAAUGUUUGCGAUGCAUGCUUUAUUCUUAUGGCACAUUUGAAUGAACAUCGGAAUAAACGUAAUAGAUAUUCAUGCAUGAGAAAUUAAUCUGUCCGUCUUUCAGAAACGCAGACUUCUUCUGAAACUAAAUCCAUUAAUCAUGAUAUUUUUACUUUUCAAAGAGCAGUUUCAAGUGACAUCAAUGUAAUUUGUGUAUUACAUCAUUCAAAACUAAUUUGGAAUAUCAUACUGACAAAAACAAAAUAAUGUCAAAGAGACAACUAACAUUAGACAAGAACGAAGUGAAAAAUCAAAACGAAGAUAGUGGACAGCCUGAAGAACAUGUAUUUCCAAAUAUUGGAAAACUCAACAGAAGUCAUAAUUGUUAAGAUUACAAUAUAGAUUUCACUUCACACGGAGAAUUAAAUAUUCAUUACAAGCAACUCUAUCAACAAAUAAUGUGUAAUACGUGUCAUAGAACUUUUGUAUUCAAGAAAAGCAUUGGGAAACACUUACUAUCACACACUUAUGUUAUAAUGUCAAAUGG